CAGCCGCCACGGUAAGACAGAGGGUGCAAACGUUGUUCGGAAUUACUGGGCGUAAAGCGAGUGUAGGCGGUUCGGUAAGUCGGAUGUGAAAGCCCCGGGCUCAACCCGGGAAGUGCACUCGAUACUACCAAGCUAGAGUACUGGAGAGGUUGGUGGAAUUCUCGGUGUAGAGGUGAAAUUCGCAGAUAUCGAGAGGAACACCGGUGGCGAAGGCGGCCAACUGGACAGAUACUGACGCUGAGACUCGAAAGCGUGGGGAGCAAACAGGAUUAGAUACCCGCGUAGUCCCUGUCUCUUAUAC
rnacentral:rRNA from 1 species